rnacentral:rRNA from 1 species
UACAGAGGUCUCAAGCGUUGUUCGGAUUCAUUGGGCGUAAAGCGCGUGUAGGCGGUUCGGUAAGUCCGCUGUGAAAGUCGGGGGCUCAACCCUCGAAUGCCGGUGGAUACUGUCGGACUAGAGUACGGAAGAGGCGAGUGGAAUUCCUGGUGUAGCGGUGAAAUGCGCAGAUAUCAGGAGGAACACCAAUUGCGAAGGCAGCUCGCUGGGACGUUACUGACGCUGAGACGCGAAAGCGUGGGGAGCAAACAGG